rnacentral:rRNA from 1 species
CCUAACACAUGCAAGUCGAACGGAAAGGCCUCUGCUUGCAGGGGUGCUCGAGUGGCGAACGGGUGAGUAACACGUGGGUGAUCUGCCUUGUACUCUGGGAUAAGCUUGGGAAACUGGGUCUAAUACCGGAUAGGAACUGCCUUUAGUGUGGUGGUUGGAAAGUUUUUUCGGUGCAAGAUGAGCUCGCGGCCUAUCAGCUUGUUGGUGGGGUAAUGGCCUACCAAGGCGUCGACGGGUAGCCGGCCUGAGAGGGUGUACGGCCACAUUGGGACUGAGAUACGGCCCAGACUCCUACGGGAGGCAGCAGUGGGGAAUAUUGCACAAUGGGCGGAAGCCUGAUGCAGCGACGCCGCGUGGGGGAUGACGGCCUUCGGGUUGUAAACUCCUUUCGACAGGGACGAAGCUUUUUGUGACGGUACCUGUAUAAGAAGCACCGGCUAACUACGUGCCAGCAGCC